GAUGAACGCUAGCGGCAGGCUUAACACAUGCAAGUCGAGGGGUAGAGGUUGCUUGCAACCUUGAGAACGGCGCACGGGUGCGUAACGCGUAUGCAACCUACCUUUUACAGAGGGAUAGCCCAGAGACAUUUGGAUUAAUACCUCAUAGUAUAUAACCUUCGCAUGUUGGUUAUAUUAAGGUUCCAACGGUAAAAGAAGGGCAUGCGUCCUAUUAGCUAGAUGGUGAGGUAACGGCUUACCAUGGCAACGAUAGGUAGGGGUCCUGAGAGGGAGAUCCCCCACACUGGUACUGAGACACGGACCAGACUCCUACGGGAGGCAGCAGUGAGGAAUAUUGGACAAUGGGCGCAAGCCUGAUCCAGCCAUGCCGCGUGCAAGAAGAAGCAUCUAUGGUGUGUAAACUGCUUUUGUACAGGAAGAAACACCCCGACGUGUCGGGGCUUGACGGUACUGUAAGAAUAAGGAUCGGCUAACUCCGUGCCAGCCGCCGCGGUAA
rnacentral:rRNA from 1 species